CCUGAGGAGGCCUGCCCAUAGUACGAGAGGACCUGGGUGGACGGACCUCUGGUAUGCCGGUUGUCGCGCCAGCGGCAUGGCCGGUUGGCUACGUUCGGGAGGGAUAACCGCUGAAAGCAUCUAAGCGGGAAGCCUGCUCCAAGAUUAGGAUUCCUUGACGCUCCCCGGAGCGCCUGUAGCCCGCAUGUGGAACACGUGUUCGAUAGGCCGGAGGUGGAAGCCCCGCGAGGGGUGGAGCCGACCGGUACUAACGGGCGAACGCGGCA
rnacentral:rRNA from 1 species